GCCCCGGCUGGGGCUGCGCUCUCUCUCGGAAACUCGCAGCGAGGCGAGGCCGGGGAACCAGAGAGGCUGGUGGCUGUGGAUCCCAGGGCCUGGAAUCUCGGAAUUCCUAACGGCGAGCGUUUUGUGUGCAUCGUUAUUGGAAAGUGUUCGUUUUUUUUUUUUUUAAUGUGUUUAUUUGUGUGUGGUUCUUCCCGUUUGUUUCUUUAAACGUUUAUGAACCUCUGGGCAGAGCAGCGGGACUGAACCUCAGCUAUGUCUUUCUUUUCCCUUGAGGUACGACUGUGGGGCUGUGUUCUGGGGCCCUCUUCUCUCUUGCUACUCCAUCUGGUUUGUGCUGGGCCCUAAUUUUCCACUUCUUCCCUUGGAAAAAGGAGGGAAGGAAGAGGGUGUAGGAACCAGGAAGAAGAACUCUUUUUCUCUCCACUAGCUGCACACGCCACACUCGCUUUGUUUGUAAACUCCUGAGUGGCCUGUGUGGUCCAGGAGCACAGCUUGGGCCAGAGAAGGGUUCCAUGAGCGGCUGGAGAUUUGUGGACCACGGCAGGGAGUGGGACCGGAAGAAUGGAAGAAUGGGACCCUCCUUUUCGGAAGGGGGGUCAGAAUGGCCUCUGUCCCUUCUCUUCCUGGCAACUUUUCCUACGCUACUGCCCAAUUCAUCACCUUGGGGAAAUCCUCCCCGCCCUAUCCGGCUCCUCAGAAGACCCCCUGGGGGGUCACCGUCUCAGACCAGACACGUGGCAGUGGUUUGUGUCAACUCUUCUGCCUCUCUCUCCAUCUGGUCAUGAACUUGAGGAGGACAGGACCACCAUCUCUCUGUGUGCCCCAUGCCAGCCAGGCAUAUACCAAGAGCUCCUCGGGCAUUUAUUGAGUAAAUAAACUAAACGGAUAAGAGACAAAGAGAGCCAGACAGAGAACUGGCUCAGUCUUUGUCUCCCCCCACCCCCCAGAGAGGGCCAAGGGUGCAGGAGAGGGGAGGUUCGUUGUUUUUGUCAGCUGCAUGCAGAUGUUUGAGGUGCUCUGAGGCUCACACCUCCACACUGGCAGAGGUGCACAAAGACUUCAUUCUUUAACGCUGUUUGCUGGGGGUGGGAGUGCUGGGAUCUGGAUCCAGCUGUGGUCCGACUAAUAAUGGGACUUCCUUGCAUUUUGUUUUGUUUUAAACAGGAUUGAUUCUCUGCCACACGACGGGUCCAGAAAUGGAGAGGAAGAAAGGACUGAAGAGCAGGAGUGAGGAGCAGACGGGAGGGGUAGAAAACAGGCCCAUUGCACCCCAAGGGCCCUAGGGUCUGUGAAGAGGGCGGUGAAUUCCUGGUCUCGGAAGAAACCCCAGUCCUUGGUGCAUCCCCGAAGGUUAGUGGGAUGGUGUUUAGCCCCCGAGAGGAGGAGCUGAGGAGCUACACCCCGCACUUGUGGAUGGGCCAACAAUACAGGCAUCCCUGCCCUGGGGAGGGCAUUGGUGGCAGGCAUGAAGCUUAGGCUACUGGGCCUGGUGGAAAGACUGCGCCCAGAAACAGAAGAGGCCAGGGUAAGUAUGAGCCGGUCUGCGUGGCUAUGCGGAUGCAGAAAAGACCUGAGUCAGGCUUCUCAUAAUAAACGGCACGUGAAUAAUUCAGCAGCCUCUGAGGCUCAUUGCAUUAGCGCCUUGCGAGUGUGCCGAGCAGCGGGCUCACUAACCUGCAAAAGUAAGAGACCUGGGUAGAAGACCCCCUGACCCCGGGUACCCUGAAUUAUACCAGCACCUCUGUCCUGGAUCGCCUAGACUCCGCUGGUCAGAGGCCACCUUCUGGGCAGGGCUGCCCCACCUAAGGCUCUAGAGAGCUCCCAGACCCCGGGCAAGAGAAGACAGGCCCAGCCGAGGCCAGGGUAGGAAAAGAGGAUGCAAGUGUCCGCCCUGAGAAAGCCUGCAGCUGAAGAGGUCUACCUGUGGGAAUGUGGCUCCAAGCAAAGCGGACAACAGGAGCUCCUUCGGAGCUGGGACCCUGGCUCCCUCCAGGCUGUUUUGGACCAGUAGGAUUGCCCUUGAGAUUGAAGUGAGUUGCCGGGGAACUCCAUGGGCUCAAGGCCCCAGGUUCCCUGGUCCCUUGGCACCCGCAGGUCCAAUUUCCACCACGUCAGAAUUUAUGUCCGAACCCAGCUGGCCCAUCCUGUCCCUGCAAGGAAGCGCUAGGUUACUGGGCGUGGGAAAGAGGGUAGCGCACAGACUUUCGUACAGCACAAUUCGCUCCCUUUGGCUUUGCCCACUUUCUUCACACCCCUGGGUUCCUGAUCCGGAAGGAUGCAACCACCGCAUCCCACAUCCACCCAUGCCCCUGACUCCUCCACUUCCUGUGUACACCUUGCUUUUCGUUCGCUUCUGCGAGGUCAACUCCUAUGAUUCUUCUGCGGCCUUUGGGCCAGGGCCCUCACUCUGGCCCCAGCGGGAUCUUUAAGGUAUUCUGCACAGCCAGACCCAGACAGGAGGCAGUUCGCUGAGUUCGCUCAGCCUGUGGCCUGCGGUACCUCUCUCCCUCCACCCCUGAGGCCACCACCUCACCACCUCGUCCCUCAGCAGCCCUUCCUUAUUGAUUUGGAUUUGUUCUGAGGUGCUUGGUUUGCAGGUCUGGCUCCUGCAGAGGGGUUCUCUCUAAGCCAAAUAUCCAAUCGCUUCCCAGAGGCAGCAGGGCAGUCCAGGCAUCCUCAGACACACACCCGCAGGUGCACCGUAGCCUGAAGACCACACCACAUCUGGCCGGCUGGGUGGCCUUGGGUAAGUCUUAACCUCUCUGAGCCUCGUUAUCACCAUAAGGCAGAAGGUUUAGGACCUUUAGUGACCGAAGACUUCCUUUGUUUAGGAAAGUGCACUGCCUUCUUGACGCUUGAACAAGGAAGCAAGGUUGGCGAUAGAAUGCUCCAUCAGAAAGGACCUUUUGUUUUAACGAGUAUUUUGGAAACCACUGGCAAUUGUUUCUCUUGUUUGUGCAGUCGACGGGGUACCAAGCAUCUGAAUCCUCUCCAGUACUUGCCACAUUUCCAUUUGCUGAAAAGAACUCCGAGGUUAAACUCUGAUCUGCCGCCACAAACGUUGUUAUUUGAAUCCAGACCCUGAUCUGAGCUCCUCUUGGGUUUAAGCCUCGACUUACCUCCUUGGAUGGGGAAUGGAGUUCUGACUGGCUGAAUGUUUCUGAUUAAGAAAGUUUUGAAAGCCUCAUUUUCUUUCUCUUUCUUUCUUUCUUUCUUUCUUUCUUUCUUUCUUUCUUUCUUUCUUUUUUUUAGACAGAGUUUUUCUGUCUCAAAUCUGUAGACCAGAUUGGCCUUGAACUCAGAACUCAGAGAUCCACCUACCCCUUCCCCGUGUGCUGAGAUUGAAGGCUUGUGCCACCAUUUUCAAGUUAAAAAAAAAAAAAAGCCUCAUUUUCAAGUAAACGAUUUUGGUGGCAUCCAAGGAAGGAUGAAAGUAAGACCCACGGAGGGACUUUCGGCAAGUUAUGGGAGAAGCCCAUGAGGAAAAGCAACGACUUCCCAGCCAAGAUAGAAAACAUCAUUCUAGCAUUAGUCCUCUUUAGAAUCUGUCCAUCAGCUCAUCUGUCUGUCUUCCUGUAGGGCCUGGAUCCCUGCAGACCAACAGGAAGCAAGAGCUCAGAGGACACCCCCACCCCCAACACACACACAGCAUCUUCCUCUCUAAGAAGGCUUCUCGGAGAUCUAGUGAAUCCCGCAGUUGCAGAGGUGGGGUUGGCUGUAGGGAAGCAGGGUGGAAACUGGAGCCUGAGACCCUCUGAGCAGGCAGCGGUGAGCUAGAGCGCGGCUCCCCGGAGCCAGGUCGGGGCCUGUGGUAGCCGGUACAGACCAAGCGUCCUGCGCCACAAGUCCCAUUACACUGUAUUUAUGUUUCACUUUAUUGUUUUUUUCCCUCUCUUAUUAUGGUCUCACUCUGGGGGAGGCAAAGGAUAUAAUAUAUUCAUCUUUAUUAUACCAAAUCUGUGUGAAGCAUUUAAUAAA